UUCUUCUAGUCAGAGUUCCCUUGAAUUGAGGGCUUGGCCUGGUCACCAGGAUUCUGAGAAGACACAGGGGUACCUGGCAGGCUGCUGAGCCCAGACUGCCUAGGAGAGCUGGUGAGGGGAAUAAGUCUUGGUGGAGGUCUGGAAGAACAGCCCUAGCAGGGCCUUGAAAGAGGAAGAAGCCCCUAGCAGCUAAAGCUGCCUGCUGGGCUUCAGGAGUCUGCUGUGUGCGGUGUGGCCUGCUGCUCCAGGAGGCCUGGUUCUCCUGGUGCGAGGGCGGGCGGCGAAGGCUUUCCUUUCUAUCCCCCAAGUCCAUGGACAAGCCAUCGUCUCAGCUCUUGGACCCAGGACCUUUGUCCCAGGGGACUGAAUUUAUCACCGAGCCUGACGUGACAGCAGGAUCCAUGACCUGCUUCAGCGGUCUUAGAAGGUUCUUCUGUGAAGCAUGGAGACCACCCUGCAUGGCUUUGUGCGUGCUGUUUUUACCAGCACGGAGGAGGCAGAGACCAAUAAGAGCUGCCUUCUUCAGGUAAGAAAUCUCUGCACCUGUCGGGCUGGUCCCAGGACAAGGGAUAGAUCGCAGAUGAAUAUCUGCCACUCUUGCCACCAAGGGAAGAGCUGAACAACUUUCCUGGUCUUCACCAAGUUCCAUGGCUGCUCCAGGUCACCGCAACCUGAUUAGAUCGAGUCUGGCUGCACAAGAGUUAAUCUCAGCCUCCCA